GAUGAACGCUGGCGGCGUGCCUAAUACAUGCAAGUCGAGCGAACAGACGAGGAGCUUGCUCCUCUGACGUUAGCGGCGGACGGGUGAGUAACACGUAGAUAACCUACCUAUAAGACUGGGAUAACUUCGGGAAACCGGAGCUAAUACUGGAUAAUAUAUUGAACCGCAUGGUUCAAUAGUGAAAGACGGUUUUGCUGUCACUUAUAGAUGGAUCCGCGCCGCAUUAGCUAGUUGGUAAGGUAACGGCUUACCAAGGCAACGAUGCGUAGCCGACCUGAGAGGGUGAUCGGCCACACUGGAACUGAGACACGGUCCAGACUCCUACGGGAGGCAGCAGUAGGGAAUCUUCCGCAAUGGGCGAAAGCCUGACGGAGCAACGCCGCGUGAGUGAUGAAGGUCUUCGGAUCGUAAAACUCUGUUAUUAGGGAAGAACAAAUGUGUAAGUAACUAUGCACGUCUUGACGGUACCUAAUCAGAAAGCCACGGCUAACUACGUG
rnacentral:rRNA from 1 species